rnacentral:rRNA from 1 species
UACAGAGGUCUCAAGCGUUGUUCGGAUUCAUUGGGCGUAAAGGGUGCGUAGGUGGCGCUGUAAGUCGGGCGUGAAAUGCCGGGCUCAACCCGGACUGCGUCCGAUACUUCCGAGCUGGAGGUAGGUAGGGGAGAUCGGAAUUCCUGGUGUAGGCGGUGAAAUGCGCAGAGUAAUCAGGAGGAACACCGGUGGCGAAGGCGGAUCUCUGGGCCUUACCUGACGCUGAGGCGCGAAAGCUAGGGGAGCGAACAGG